rnacentral:rRNA from 1 species
CCCUUAGAUGUUCUGGGCUGCACGCGCGCUACACUGACACACUCAGCGAGUCACCUGAUCUGAGAAGACCGGGCAAUCAUGUGAGCGUGUGUCGUGAUGGGGAUAGAAUAUUGUAAUUAUUACUCUUCAACGAGGAAUUCCUAGUAAGCGCGAGUCAGCAGCUCGCGCUGAUUACGUCCCUGCCCUUUGUACACACCGCCCGUCGCUCCUACCGAUUGAGUGGUCCGGUGAGGCUUUGGGAUCUGAGCGGAAAGAGCGUUUCGCUGUUUCUGCUCGGAAAACUCAGUCGAACCUUAUCAUUUAGAGGAAGGAGAAGUCGUAACA